rnacentral:misc_RNA from 1 species
UCGAGCGUCAUUAUCAACCAUCAAGCUCUGCUUGGCAUUGGGUGUCGUCCCUAGCGGACGCGCCUUAAACCCUUUGGCGGCGGUUAUACACCUCAAGCGUAGUAGAAAUUCUUAGCUUUCUAGGUUGUAGCCGUUCUGCCUCGAGAACAUCUCACCUCAAGGUUGACCUCGGAUCAGGUAGGGAUACCCGCUGAACUUAA